CCUACGGGAGGCAGCAGUAGGGAAUCUUGGACAAUAGGCGAAAGCCUGAUCCAGCAAUGCCGCGUGCACGAUGAAGGUCUUCGGAUUGUAAAGUGCUUUUAGAAGGGAUGAGUAAGGACAGUACCUUCUGAAUAAGCCUCGGCGAACUACGUGCCAGCAGCCGCGGUAAGACGUAGGAGGCAAGCGUUAUCCGGAUUUAUUGGGCGUAAAGCGCGUGCAGGCGGUUUGGUAAGUUGGAUGUGAAAUCUCUCGGCUUAACCGGGAGAGGUCGUUCAAAACUACCAGACUAGAGAUUGGUAGAGGAAGGUGGAAUUCCGGGUGUAGUGGUGAAAUGCGUAGAUAUCCGGAGGAACACCAGUGGCGAAAGCGGCCUUCUGGACCAUUUCUGACGCUAAGAUGCGAAAGCUAGGGUAGUAAACGGGAUUAGAGACCCCGGUAAUCCUAGCCGUAAACUAUGUAGACUUGGCGUUGGCGGAGUUAAAUCUGCCAGUGCCGUAGCUAACGCGAUAAGUCUACCGCCUGAGGAUUACGAUCGCAAGGUUAAAACUCAAAGGAAUUGACGGGGGCCCGCACAAGCAGCGGAGCGUGUGGUUUAAUUCGAUGAUACACGAAGAACCUUACCAAGGUUUGACAUGCAAGUGGUAGUGAACUGAAAAGGGAACGACCCUUCGGGGAGCUAUGAGAAGGGCGAAUUCCACCCCUUGCGGCG
rnacentral:rRNA from 1 species